rnacentral:rRNA from 1 species
UACAGAGGGUGCGAGCGUUGUCCGGAAUUACUGGGCGUAAAGGGCGCGUAGGCGGCUCAGUAAGGCUGCGGUGAAAGCCCGGGGCUCAACCCCGGGUCGGCCGUGGCAACUGCUGGGCUGGAGCACUGUAGAGGCAGGUGGAAUUCCGGGUGUAGCGGUGGAAUGCGUAGAGAUCAUGAGGAAGACCAGUGGCGAAGGCGGGUCUCUGGACAGUUCCUGACGCUGAGGCACGAAGGUCAGGGGAGCAAACGGG